GUCUACCCUCUUUCUCUACGCAAUUCCUUCUUUUGCUUUCUUGCUUGAGCGAGUGGAAUACUAGUAACGAGCGAACGGAGCGUGCGAGCGAACUAGAUGUAGCGAGAGCUAGAGAUAGACUGAUUCUCUUAUUCAAUUUCGUGCUUCAUUCUCUAUAAUGAUCUUCUGAAAGAUAUACCUAUAGUAGAUCCACCGAUAGGCUGAGGGCCGUUAAGAGUAGGCUUGUAUCAGUAGAGAUAGUUCAAGACUGUCUAGGGCUCCUGCCCCGGCGAGGUUGAGUAGCCGAACCACUCAAUCGGUCUUCUUUUUAUAGUGUUCUUACUCUUAGGAUAGAGCUUCAGUGUCCGAGCCCGAUCUCUUCCUCUUAUUGGUUUAUA
rnacentral:misc_RNA from 1 species